rnacentral:rRNA from 1 species
AACGCUAGCUACAGGCUUAACACAUGCAAGUCGAGGGGAAACGAUAUUGGAAGCUUGCUUCCGAUAGGCGUCGACCGGCGCACGGGUGAGUAACGCGUAUCCAACCUGCCCACCACUUGGGAAUAACCUUGCGAAAGUAAGACUAAUACCCAAUGACGUCUCUAGAAGACAUCUGAAGGAGAUUAAAGAUUUAUCGGUGAUGGAUGGGGAUGCGUCUGAUUAGCUUGUUGGCGGGGUAACGGCCCACCAAGGCGACGAUCAGUAGGGGUUCUGAGAGGAAGGUCCCCCACAUUGGAACUGAGACACGGUCCAAACUCCUACGGGAGGCAGCAGUGAGGAAUAUCGGUCAAUGGGCGAGAGCCUGAACCAGCCAAGUAGCGUGCAGGAUGACGGCCCUAUGGGUUGUAAACUGCUUUUAUAAGGGAAUAAAGUGAGCCUCGUGAGGCUUUUUGCAUGUACCUUAUGAGUAAGGACCGGCUAAUUCCGUGCCAGCAGCCGCGGUAAUACGGAAGGUCCGGGCGUUAUCCGGAUUUAUUGGGUUUAAAGGGAGCGUAGGCCGGAGAUUAAGCGUGUUGUGAAAUGUAGAUGCUCAACAUCUGCACUGCAGCGCGAACUGGUUUCCUUGAGUACGCACAAAGUGGGCGGAAUUCGUGGUGUAGCGGUGAAAUGCUUAGAUAUCACGAAGAACUCCGAUUG